GAGGACCGUAUUCAUGGAAGAGGAUUGAACAGAAGACUACUGAGUUCUUAAGAGAAAAAUGGCACUUAAGAAAUUGAUGGUGAUAUCAAAGGAAGGUUACUUAUUACUCUUGGACUUUGAUGAUGAGGACGAUGACAUAAAAGUUUCAGAGGAGGCUCUUGCGGAAGUAAAGAGCCCAGGAUUUGAUAAAAAUGAGAAUAUAUCGCCUCAAGCAGAAGCAGAUGAAUAUAUGGGAGAUGAAGUAGACAGUAUGUUGGAUAAAUCUGGAGUAAAGAAUCCAGCAAUUGGUAAAGAUGAGAAUAUGUCGCCUCAAGUAAAAGGAGAUGAAGACAUGGGAGAUGAAAUUGACAGUAUGUUGGCUACAUCUGGAGGUCUUUUCUCCUGAGAACACGGGACUCCAGCAUCUUCGGAUUCUGCUCUUGGAGGUGUGAGUCCCUGCCUCUCUGCACAGGGGAACUUAUGUCUCUCCACAUGUCCGCAAAUGUCUACCCAAGAUUAUACAUCUUCCAAAGGCUUUCAAAUACUUCUUUACAUAAACAAGGGGUUUGCCCCACAUCCUCUAUAUUGCAGAAAACAAGACUAGGCUCUACCUCUGUAGAUCAAGCACGACUGAAAUCCGUGCUCUCAAAAGAUGCUGGGGAGAAAGAGUGCCAUUCUUCACAAAUGCUGAUGUGUGCAGCUGAACAGAGCGUUGAGGAAACGUCAGUGAUUUUAUAGCUGCUUGUCAUGUUGGGAGAUUGUUGUGAUGAUUGCCUGGACUCUCAGAUGUUACACAGGAUAAGAGAGAGUCCAGGCAAUAGUCGGAACGAUCUUCCAAUGUGAUAGGUGGUUGUACAAGCAUUGAUGUUUCCUCAAGGCUGUGUUCACCUGCACACAUCGCUGCAUCAUUGGACUGAAAGUGAAUGGCCCAUGUAUUGCCACUGAUGUGAGCCAUUUGCCUGUUGUGCUUCAA
rnacentral:precursor_RNA from 1 species